UUUGCGUCGAAGGUAUACCGGUAAGGAGUGCUGGAGCGAAUAGAAGUGAGCAUGCAGGCAUGAGUAGCGAUAAUUAAUGUGAGAAUCAUUAACGCCGUAAACCCAAGGUUUCCUACGCGAUGCUCGUCAUCGUAGGGUUAGUCGGGUCCUAAGUCGAGUCCGAAAGGGGUAGACGAUGGCAAAUUGGUUAAUAUUCCAAUACCAACAUUAGUGUGCGAUGGAAGGACGCUUAGGGCUAAGGGGGCUAGCGGAUGGAAGUGCUAGUCUAAGGUCGUAGGAGGUUAUACAGGCAAAUCCGUAUAACAAUACUCCGAGAACUGAAAGGCUUUUUGAAGUCUUCGGAUGGAUAGAAGAACCCCUGAUGCCGUCGAGCCAAGAAAAGUUUCUAAGUUUAGCUAAUGUUGCCCGUACCGUAAACCGACACAGGUGGGUGGGAUGAGUAUUCUAAGGCGCGUGGAAGAACUCUCUUUAAGGAACUCUGCAAAAUAGCACCGUAUCUUC
rnacentral:rRNA from 1 species